GGCAGCCAGAAACAUCAUAACAAAACCUCGUCUGAUCCUUGGGUGGUGGCAAAAAUCUGAUUUGGUCUGAUGAUAUCCCCAGAACGCCAGAAUCAACCGCAGCAAGGAAAGAUUGUAUCAACCCAAUGAGAGGUCUAUGGAAAACAGAUAAGCCCUAAGAAGAGCCCCAAGCAACAAGAAACUCCGGUCAAUUGCCUCUUACUCAAACAAAUCUUCCAUGGGAAUUUCAUCUUGGUUAUCCAAAAAGCAGAAUCUGGAAGAGGUUCUCCUUGGAUUGUAUUUCAUCCACAUUGAUGGUUCCUGAAGUUUUCUUGCCCUCACCUGUUUUCUUCAGCAACUCCAUUCUGUAGUAACAGCAAGAAUUGAGGAAAUGCUUCCAUGUUCUGUUGGACAACUCAGGUUUUCACCAUCUUCUCUGUCUGAAAUAUCCAUUGCAUAGAGGCAUUAUUUUAUAAAGAACAAUAUGUCUUUCUUUUACCACUGCCUCAAGGAUGAGAUGAUGGAUCACAUGUCUUCACGCCAGGAUUAUUUAAAUGCCAUGAUAAGCCUUUUGGAUCUUUCAUGGAUCACACCAAGACUGCUGUCUUUGUUUUUGUGUGUUCAGUUAUCCUCUGAUUAUCAGUAGAUCUUAUCUGCUCUUCUGCCUUUGUUAUUUUUAAUAAUUUUUGGCAAUUGUACUCUAAGCUGACUCCACACUUGAAAACACUCCACAUUUGUUUUAAAAUCACUUUCCUAACAAAACCCCUAAAGCACAAGAAGUAAAAUCAAGAAUCAAUAAGUGGGAUAAAAUCAAGCUAAAAAGCUU